rnacentral:rRNA from 1 species
GUAGUCAUAUGCUUGUCUCAAAGAUUAAGCCAUGCAUGUCUAAGUAUAAGCAAUUAUACAGCGAAACUGCGAAUGGCUCAUUAUUUAAGUUAUCGUUUAUUUGAUAGUACCUUACUACUUGGAUAACCGUGGUAAUUCUAGAGCUAAUACAUGCUAAAAAUCCCGACUUCGGAAGGGAUGUAUUUAUUAGAUUAAAAACCAAUGCCCUCCGGGGCUCACUGGUGAUUCAUGAUAACUCCUCGAAUCGCAUGGCCUUGCGCCGGCGAUGGUUCAUUCAAAUUUCUUCCCUAUCAACUUUCGAUGUUUGGGUAUUGGCCAAACAUGGUUGCAACGGGUAACGGAGGGUUAGGGCUCGACCCCGGAGAAGGAGCCUGAGAAACGGCUACUACAUCCAAGGAAGGCAGCAGGCGCGCAAAUUACCCAAUCCCGACACGGGGAGGUAGUGACAAUAAAUACUGAUACAGGGCUCUUUUGGGUCUUGUAAUUGGAAUGAGUACAAUUUAAAUCCCUUAACGAGGAACAAUUGGAGGGCAAGUCUGGUGCCAGCAGCC